rnacentral:rRNA from 1 species
AGUGAACGCUGGCGGUAGGCCUAACACAUGCAAGUCGAACGGCAGCACAGUAAGAGCUUGCUCUUACGGGUGGCGAGUGGCGGACGGGUGAGGAAUACAUCGGAAUCUACUUUUUCGUGGGGGAUAACGUAGGGAAACUUACGCUAAUACCGCAUACGACCUACGGGUGAAAGCAGGGGAUCUUCGGACCUUGCGCGAUUGAAUGAGCCGAUGUCGGAUUAGCUAGUUGGCGGGGUAAAGGCCCACCAAGGCGACGAUCCGUAGCUGGUCUGAGAGGAUGAUCAGCCACACUGGAACUGAGACACGGUCCAGACUCCUACGGGAGGCAGCAGUGGGGAAUAUUGGACAAUGGGCGCAAGCCUGAUCCAGCCAUACCGCGUGGGUGAAGAAGGCCUGCGGGUUGUAAAGCCCUUUUGUUGGGAAAGAAAAGCAGCAGGUUAAGACCCCGCUGUUCUGACGGUACCCAAAGAAUAAGCACCGGCGAACUUCGU